rnacentral:sRNA from 1 species
GCUGGGCAAGGUGGCACAUGCCUAUAAUUCUAGCAACUCAGAAGGCUGAGACAGGAGGAUCACAAAUUUGGGAGCUACCUCAGCAACUUUGUGAGGCCAUAAGCAACUUAGUGAGAUCCUGUCUCAA